ACACGUAGGAGGCAAACGUUAUCCGGAUUUACUGGGCGUAAAGCGCGUGUAGGUGGUUCUGUAAGUAGGGCGUGAAAGCUCCCGGCUCAACUGGGAGAGGCCGUUCUAAACUACAGAGCUAGAGGAUGGUAGAGGGAGGUGGAAUUCCAGGUGUAGCGGUGGAAUGCGCAGAUAUCUGGAGGAACACCAGUGGCGAAGGCGGCCUCCUGGACCAUUCCUGACACUCAGACGCGAAAGCUAGGGUAGCAAACGGGAUUAGAGACCCCGGUAGUCCUAGCCCUAAACGAUGUAGACUAGACGUCGGCGGUGUAAUAGCUGUCGGUGUCCAAGCUAACGCGAUAAGUCUACCGCCUGGGGACUACGGCCGCAAGGUUAAA
rnacentral:rRNA from 1 species